AUAUCAAUAAGCGGAGGAAAAGAAACCAACAGGGAUUGCCUCAGUAACGGCGAGUGAAGCGGCAAGAGCUCAAAUUUGAAAGCUGGCUCCUUCGGGGCCCGCAUUGUAAUUUGCAGAGGAUGCUUCGGGAGCGGCCCCCAUCUAAGUGCCCUGGAACGGGCCGUCAUAGAGGGUGAGAAUCCCGUCUGGGAUGGGGUGCCCGCGCCCGUGUGAAGCUCCUUCGACGAGUCGAGUUGUUUGGGAAUGCAGCUCUAAAUGGGUGGUAAAUUUCAUCUAAAGCUAAAUACUGGCCGGAGACCGAUAGCGCACAAGUAGAGUGAUCGAAAGAUGAAAAGCACUUUGAAAAGAGAGUUAAACAGCAC
rnacentral:rRNA from 1 species